GACGAACGCUGGCGGCGUGCCUAAUACAUGCAAGUUGAGCGAUGAAGAUUGGUGCUUGCCCCAAUUUGAAGAGCAGCGAACGGGUGAGUAACGCGUGGGGAAUCUGCCUUUGAGCGGGGGACAACAUUUGGAAACGAAUGCUAAUACCGCAUAACAACUUUAAACAUAAGUUUUAAGUUUGAAAGAUGCAAUUGCAUCACUCAAAGAUGAUCCCGCGUUGUAUUAGCUAGUUGGUGAGGUAAAGGCUCACCAAGGCGAUGAUACAUAGCCGACCUGAGAGGGUGAUCGGCCACAUUGGGACUGAGACACGGCCCAAACGCCUACGGGAGGCAGCAGGAGGGAAUCUUCGGCAAUGGACGAAAGUCUGACCGAGCAACGCCGCGUGAGUGAAGAAGGGUUUCGGAUCGUAAAACUCUGUUGGUAGAGAAGAACGUUGGUGAGAGUGGAAAGCUCAUCAAGUGACGGUAACUACCCAGAAAGGGACGGCUAACUACGUG
rnacentral:rRNA from 1 species